rnacentral:rRNA from 1 species
UACGUAGGGGGCAAGCGUUAUCCGGAUUUAUUGGGUGUAAAGGGCGUGUAGGCGGGAGCGCAAGUCAGAUGUGAAAACUCAGGGCUCAACCCUGAGCCUGCAUUUGAAACUGUGUUUCUUGAGUGCUGGAGAGGCAAUCGGAAUUCCGUGUGUAGCGGUGAAAUGCGUAGAUAUACGGAGGAACACCAGUGGCGAAGGCGGAUUGCUGGACAGUAACUGACGCUGAGGCGCGAAAGCGUGGGGAGCAA